rnacentral:rRNA from 1 species
UACGGAGGAUGCAAGCGUUAUCCGGAGUUAUUGGGCGUAAAGCGCGCGCAGGCGGCCUCGCGCGCCCGACGUGAAAGCCCCCGGCUUAACCGGGGAGGGUCGUUGGGGACGGCGGGGCUUGAGGGCGGGAGAGGUCGGUGGAAUUCCCGGUGUAGUGGUGAAAUGCGUAGAGAUCGGGAGGAACACCUGUGGCGAAGGCGGCCGACUGGGCCGACCCUGACGCUGAGGCGCGAAGGCGUGGGGAGCGAACGGG